CUGAGGUCAGAGUCCUGAGGAGCCCUUUCUCAGUGUGGGUCAUUUUCUGUUUGAUUUUGAAUUUGUCCACGCUGUGAUGGACUAUUUUUUGAACACUACUAUGUGCCAGCUACUGUCCUGGGUGCUAGAGAUACCUCAGUGAACAACACAGACACGUGCGGUGCCCUAGCACGCUUCGGGGUCAGAUGCUGCUUCAUUAAGGCCAAGCCAACUAUGGGGAAGCAAGAGAGAAGGAGAAGGACGCCUCAGUGAAAGCUUGGGUUUGAGAUUUGUUACACAGCCUGCAGGGUUUGGGACAAACAGAAGAUAAAAGGACUUUGGAGAGAGGGAGCCCAGAGUGAAAGGGAGAUGUAGAGAUGUUACAGUGAGAUCAAAGGCUAAAAGAUGGCAAAUGUCCAAAGGAAGAGAGGUGGUGAAGACAUUUCAGGAAGGGCAGUGGAGACUUUUCCUCUGAGAAGGGCAGUGCAGUCAAGUGGAAAACACCUGGGCUGGGACACAAGCGACCCUGAACCCCUCCAGCGCUGCUGCCCACUCUCCUUGGAGAAUGUUCCGUGAAUGAAUAGUGUGUGAAAGAACAGCUAACCCUGGAAAGGGGGAGCUAAAGAGCAAGAAUUGUCCCACACCGCCACGCCACCCCGUGCACCAGUUGUGGGACCACCACACACAGCUCUGCCUGUGAUUAGUUGUUCUCACGUAGACUCUGCUGCUGGAAGAUGUACUGACCAGCUGAGACAAAUAUCUGACCCACUUGGCAAUCGUGUUUCUCACAGUAAAUGAAUACGUUGGCACUCCAGUUUAUGCACCUGUGGGGAUGCUUGACCUGCACAUGUUAAGGCAAAGACCCCAGACACGGGCAAUCAAAAUAAGGUGUGGCCUCUCAGAGGGACCCUGCCAGAAAAUGAUCAACUGGCUUCCCUAGUGAACGACUAUUCCUCAUGGCCACAACUGUGAGAACAAUCUCCUCUUAGGUCAAAAGUAGACAGAAGGGCUUCCCUGGUGGCGCAGUAGUUAAGAAUCCGCCUGCCAAUGCAGGGGACACGGGUUC